rnacentral:rRNA from 1 species
GCUUAACACAUGCAAGUCGAACGAGCAGCCGGAAGUGCUUGCACAUCCGGUGGGCGAGUGGCGGACGGGUGCGUAACACGUAGGAACCUGCCCUGAGGAGGGGGACAACCGCUGGAAACGGCGGCUAAUCCCGCAUAGUCUCAUCUUUGAGAGAUCAUAGAUGAGUAAAACUCAGGUGCCUCAGGAGGGGCCUGCGGCCUAUCAGGUAGUUGGUGGGGUAAAGGCCUACCAAGCCGAUGACGGGUAGGGGGCGUGAGAGCGUGGCCCCCCACACGGGAACUGAGACACGGUCCCGACGCCUACGGGCGGCAGCAGUGAGGAAUCUUGCCCAAUGGGGGAAACCCUGAGGCAGCGACGCCGCGUGCGGGAGGAAGGCCUUCGGGUCGUAAACCGCUUUUCUGGGGGACGAGGAAGGACGGUACCCCAGGAAUAAGUCCCGGCUAACUACGUGCCAGCAGCCGCGGUAAAACGUAGGGGGCGAGCGUUAUCCGGAAUUACUGGGCGUAAAGGGCGUCUAGGCGGCAGUCUAAGUCCCGCGUGAAAGCUCCCGGCUCAACUGGAAGAGGGCGCGGGAAACUGGGCAGCUAGAGACUCGGAGAGGGGUGCGGAAUUCCCGGUGGAGUGGUGAAAUGCGUUGAGAUCGGGAGGAACACCAGAGGCGAAGGCGGCACCCUGGCCGAGGUCUGACGCUGAAGCGCGACAGCGUGGGGAGCGAACGGGAUUAGAUACCCCGGUAGUCCACGCCGUAAACGAUGACAACUAGGUGUU